UUUCCAUUUUCUCUCUUUGGUUGGCAUUUUUCUUCUUUAAAAAAUUUACGUUGAUAGACAUUUGCUCAUCUCUAGCAGGUACCGUUGGGAAUGAAUUCUGUGCUGUUGUUGCCAAUCCUGGAAUGAAGUGAGACUCCCCUCCUCAGCCUCCUGACAGAGUCAUCUCAUUUCUUCUUUGAAAAAUUAAAGAACGAAGGAAUCAGAUUUAAACAAGAACAAAAGUAAAGACCAACAUUGAUGAACCGUUUAUUUCCAAAAAUUUGGAAAAGUCUGACAGAAUUAGAUUAAAAGAACUUUUGGUGACCUAUUUAUGUUCUGCCUCACUGAACACAGUCUGUGAACUUGCAGAAUAAGGCAGGUGGGCCCAGGGUCCCGGUCCCACGGCCUGGCCUGACCUCAGAGGCCAUGAAGCUAAGAUAGCAGAAGCAAGACAGAAUCUUCUCCUUGUAUGAGUGCUUCUCUCAAUAUAUCCAUCCAGAGGCCACCGGAAACAAAGCAUGAUGGCAUGGGCAGAGGAGCCCCCUGUGGGGCAUGCGAGGUGCUGAAGGUGUGUCCAUAUGCAAGUCCUCUGUGAGGCAGAGUGUGCGGGCAGUCGAGUGCCCUUCCAUCCUCUGAACUGAGAAUGUCAAGGCAUGAGAUGGGCAUGGAUGAAGAUCUCCCAACCGCACAGUCCAGCCCCUGAGCAGAUAGAUGCUCAUCACACAGUGGGAACUGCAUGUCGCUAUGCUCCCAGCUGACCUACUGUGGGGAAGAGGGGGAGAAUCAAAGAGAAGCCACGUAGUCACAGCUUGGAGAAAUACCAAGUUAACUCUGCAUCCCUUAGAAAAUGAGUAAAUCAAGAAAACCAAAAUGUUGCCUCCCUCCUCCACCCCUGAGAAAACACACUUCAGAUCUGGGGAAAGAGAAUAUCAUGCAGAUAUGCAGAAUAAGAGCAUGCACUGGCAUUUCCUUGCCUAGAAAACCG
rnacentral:lncRNA from 10 species